UACGAAGGGAGCUAGCGUUACUCGGAAUUACUGGGCGUAAAGCGUGCGUAGGCGGUUUAGAAAGUUGAAAGUGAAAGCCCGGGGCCUAACCCCGGAACAGCUUUCAAAACUACUAGACUAGAGUAUUGAAGGGGAUAGCGGAAUUCCUAGUGUAGAGGUGAAAUUCGUAGAUACUAGGAGGAACACCGGAGGCGAAGGCGGCUAUCUGGUCAAAUACUGACGCUGUUGCACGAAAGCGUGGGGAGCAAACAGG
rnacentral:rRNA from 1 species